rnacentral:rRNA from 1 species
CAGUUCGGAUUGAAGGCUGAAAUUCGCCUUCAUGAAGCUGGAAUUGCUAGUAAUGGCAGGUCAGCAUACUGCCGUGAAUACGUUCCCGGGCCCUUGUACACACCGCCCGUCACACCAUGAGAGUUGGAAAUACCCGAAGCCUGUGAGCUAACUGUAAAGAGGCAGCAGUCGAAGGUAGAGCCAAUGAUUGGGGUGAAGUCGUAACAAGGUAUC